rnacentral:ribozyme from 1 species
UGCCCAGCAACUCCUAUCCCUACCUCCUCGUGGUACCGGUCGGAAACUAUGAGCAACUUUAGGGAAGA